GGAAAACACAAAGAAAAAUCAUAACAUAAGCGUGUCGUUUACAUGUGAUAGAGAUUUCCCUUGAUUUACAUAAACUUUAACUUUGAUUUUCUCGACUUACACAACGUAUUUUUUGAAAAUUACUUCGCCAAGACCGUACUCUAGUUUAUAUUCAUUUACAAUAGCGAACCAGAAAACUGCUAGAUAUUUAGUUAAUAGUAUGUCUUAUUUUACAAAUAUAUAGCAGUCCAAAAUAUAAACAAAGCGUCGAAGGAUUUAUUUACAUUACGCGGACUUGACAUGCAUGGUCUUCAAAAGUUUGAAGUACUAUAGGCGAAGCCGAGUAUCUUUUAUAAGUCUGAUAAAACACGCACUGCAGAUGUAAAUUUUAUGUCUACAAUCUAGAUAAAGCAUGAGCGGCCGUGUUGUAUCAAAUGUACAAACUUGAGCCAAAGACAAGAGGUACGUGUAUGUCUGGGACAACAAUGUCACAACAUGUACGCGAUACUUCGUAUGACUUGUGAUCAAACGUUUGAGAACAUUCUUAUUCUUCAACAAUUUUAAAUAUUCAAUGAAUGAUAUUUGGUGAGAAAAUUUAACUUAAAGUUUAUCUAAAUGAGUUUUUUUAGUACUAUUUAAUACAUGAUCAGCAGUGUUUUAUCAGAUAUAAAAUAGGAGGCGAAGCCGAAUAUCUUUACUCUUUAGGUCUGAUAAUAAAGAAGACAUCGGCACUGUAUUUUAAAUUGCUUCAAAAACGAUCGCUCUAUACUACGUUUCAAUUCAAAACAGUUCGAAAAAUGCAAAAUUUGGGCAACUGAUUUAUUUCUGUGUGUCGCCCUUUGUUAUGAACAGAACUGAUUUGCAGAACGAACUUGACAAGG